AGUGAACGCUGGCGGUAGGCCUAACACAUGCAAGUCGAACGGCAGCACAGGAGAGCUUGCUCUCUGGGUGGCGAGUGGCGGACGGGUGAGGAAUACGUCGGAAUCUACUUUUUCGUGGGGGAUAACGUAGGGAAACUUACGCUAAUACCGCAUACGACCUACGGGUGAAAGCAGGGGACCUUCGGGCCUUGCGCGAUUGAAUGAGCCGAUGUCGGAUUAGCUAGUUGGCGGGGUAGAGGCCCACCAAGGCGACGAUCCGUAGCUGGUCUGAGAGGAUGAUCAGCCACACUGGAACUGAGACACGGUCCAGACUCCUACGGGAGGCAGCAGUGGGGAAUAUUGGACAAUGGGCGCAAGCCUGAUCCAGCCAUACCGCGUGGGUGAAGAAGGCCUUCGGGUUGUAAAGCCCUUUUGUUGGGAAAGAAAUCCAGCUGGCUAAUACCCGGUUGGGAUGACGGUACCCAAAGAAUAAGCACCGGCUAACUUCGUGCCAGCAGCCGCCGUAA
rnacentral:rRNA from 1 species